AAAAAGCCCAAACCCCUCUUAUUUAUACUCCAGGUUUUUAAGUUUGUAAUAUAUGCCCCAAACUUUAACAAUCCAGAAAAAUUGGAUGGAAGGGAGGAAGGGAGGAAGGGAGGAAGUGAGGAAGGUGGAUUAAGGAAUUCACCCUAGUUUUAUUGAUUGUUUCCAAAAGUCACCAAGAAAAAUAUCCUGAGUGAUAUUAAACAUUCGAACUUUCAAUAUUUUUUGUCAUUACAACAUCAGAAUGUUAACAUUUAAAAAAUAUAUAAAAGUAAGAGAAAUAAAGAUACGAUUUUAUUGAGCCUGAAGAUGCAAAAAGAGCACCACAGACACUGCCAUCUCUGCUCUGCCUUCAGUGCAAAUUUUGUUAGAUUAAUGUGAUUUUAGUCUACAUUUUCUUCUGUCUUUCUGUCUUGGAGUUUCUUUUGUUGCUUUUACGUUGCCUUAUAUGAAAGUUCUGUGGUUAAGUUAAAUAUUGCCUCUCCUUGACUGUUUAAGAUUCUCUUAUUUAGUCACAAAAUACAUAAGAAAACAUUCUCUUUAUUCUGUGUAGUAGAAGAUAAAGCUGCAAUACCAAUCUUCAAGAGAUGGGUGAAUGCCACAGAAAAAUAUGGUUUUACAAAAAGGAUUCAAGAAGCAUUAAGGAUGGUAUUUAGGCAGAUGAACAGCAUUUCUCCUGAGACAUGGGUUGGUCCAGGAAGGAAUUUGUUUUCCCGAUAAUAAGCCCUUGGACAUUUUCCCAGAAGGAAGAACAGAAGCAAUAUUCUUAAAUGAUGUAAUAUGGUACAAGAGGCAGAGGAUGCGUUUCUAAGGCUAUAGUUCAAAACUACUGCUGAAUCUGCAUGCACUGGAGGAAUCAACUCUUCAACUUGAUGGAGGUCAUCCCUGUUCCAGCUGGGGUCAGUGUGAUUAGUUUGGGCAGCUACUAGCCAGCUGGCAGCUGGUAAACAGAUGCUUUCUUAUAAAUCGAUGAUUUAGAGUAAAUUAGGCCAAGUACUUUGAUAAUGGUUAACAUGAAAAAUAUGACAACUACAGCCUUGUGUUUUCUUUAUUCUAUUGUUAGAAAUUUUUAGGUUGCAGAAAUAUUUUAUUAUGUUUAAGUAAGUAGACAGCAUGUAAAAGUCGUGAAAAUGUGCAAAAGAUUUGCCUGAGAUACACCACCCCCACCAAAAUUGCUACUGUAGUUAUUACUGUAGUCACAUUUGUGGGUCUCUUUGACAAUCUGGUGAGAAAAGUGGAUUUUUGAGGUAUGUUGCAGUCAUUCCC
ensembl:lncRNA